rnacentral:misc_RNA from 1 species
CCGAGUUGUCGCGAGACAAUCUCCCUUUCUUGUUGUUUGACCGGUUGCCUUGCCUUCGGGCAGGAUUAUUCUAUUUUCUAGUAGUCUGAGUUACGAUUUAAUAAAUCA